rnacentral:rRNA from 1 species
CGGACGGGUGAGUAACACGUAAGAAUUUGCCUUUAGGAGGGGGACAACAACUGGAAACGGUUGCUAAUACCCCAUAUGCUUUCGAGUGAAAUGGAUUUCCGCCUAAAGAGAAGCUUGCGGCUGAUUAGCUUGUUGGUAGGGUAAUGGCCUACCAAGGCGACGAUCAGUAUCUGGUUUGAGAGGACGAUCAGACACACUGGAACUGAGACACGGUCCAGACUCCUACGGGAGGCAGCAGUAGGGAAUUUUCCGCAAUGGGCGAAAGCCUGACGGAGCAAUACCGCGUGAGGGAUGACUGCCUAUGGGCUGUAAACCUCCUUUUUCAGGGAAGAAUAAAUGACGUGUACCUGAAGAAUAAGCAUCGGCUAACUCCGUGCCAGCAGCCGCGGUAAGACGGAGGAUGCAAGUGUUAUCCGGAAUCACUGGGCGUAAAGCGUCUGUAAGUGGCUCGACAAGUCCACUGUUUAAUCUUGAACCUCAACUUCGAAAUCCCAGUCGAAACUAUCGAACUAGAGUAUAGUAGAGGUAAAGGGCAUUUCCAGUAGAGCGGUGGAAUGCGUAGAGACUGGGAAGAACACCGAUGGCGAAGGCACUUUACUGGGCUAUUACUGACACUCAGAGACGAAAGCUAGGGUAGCAAAUGGGAUUAGAUACCCCAGUAGUC